CGCACGGAGCAGCAAGACAGCUGAUACUGACAUCGUGCAUGUGCUGACUGUCACAGGCAUUUGUACAUGCACAGAAUAAAGAGCAUGAACCGAUCCCCGCAGGAAUCGUUCUAUUGCAGACAAAGAUUUGUUUUUCAUUGGGCACUAUUUUCUAAGAUGAUGGGAAACAGGGAUAAAGAGACGUACAGACACAAACGGCAGCAACAACUCGAAGGGUGCUUGCACCCGGGGCCUGCCAGGAGUGACCGUUGCACUAGAUUUUAUUUCUCUUGGAAUCUCCCUGCAAGAUAAGAACUUUUUUCUCAAAGCUACUCCAUCAAAUUUUCGUGUCAAUGGUCAAAGACACUAUUAUGCCUUCAACUACACAGAGCCAAACACAGCCAUCAAGACCACCCUCGACAGGAUUAAAUACAAUAAGCGAGAGUUACCAGGUGAUUUAGUUGCUACAAGAUGUUUCAUCUAUAUUGUAGAGUUGCAACAGAAGUCAACUUUGCUCCAUUUUGACUCCUUCCUUUUUUUUUGGGAGUGGGCUGGCCAUCAUAAAUUAGAUAUGUACAGAAAUCAGAUUUCAAAAUAAAAUGU